rnacentral:piRNA from 1 species
UUCUAGUCCGGAUUUUAGGGCGCUAGC